AUGGGUGUGACUCAAUUGGCAGAGUAGAGGUCUCCAAAACUUCCUGUUGUAUGUUCAAAUCAUACCACCCAUGCCA
rnacentral:tRNA from 1 species